rnacentral:lncRNA from 1 species
AGAAGGCCCACUUCCAUGGCGCUUUACUUGAAAGAUGAAUAUUCACAGCUAUGGCUUGGAAGGGAAGAGGCAGCCAAAAGGAAUCAUUAAGCUGAGCUAAAUGAGCAGAACUGAGAGGCAAGAUGUGUCUCCCUUCUCCAUCCAAUCACUGAAGGAAAGUGAGAUUUGCGUAGGAAAAUCUGAGCUGAAACAUAUUCCUUUUAAAGCUUUCAUCCACCAUUUCGAGUUCCUGUGUCAUGCUCUGGCAGGUCCUGGGCCUGCACAGUCCAAAUCUAGUCUUGAAACUAUGUAGCUCAUAAGUACCAAUUUUUGACAUGACGGAUUUUGAUUCAAAGCCAUUUUACCAGCUUUCUUUCCAUAGAGUCAAG